rnacentral:lncRNA from 1 species
CUUGCCACCUCUUAUUUAUCCAUAUGGUUUUACUUUAGAAAAAUACAAUGCAAUAUUCUUAUCUUAAAAUAAUAAAUCUUGUUUUUCAGAUAGUAUAAAUUAGCACAGAAGACCAAUACCUCCCUUGCAAAGGAAGUUGAUUAUCUUCAAUAGCCUCUCAAGUAAGGACCACUUUCAUUACAGGAGAUCUACAUUGUAAUCAGCUGAUGAAACAGAGGUGGGAGGAUUGUCAUGAGCUCUGUUUCUGAAAUCAGAGAGAAGCAACUGCAGAUCUAUGGAGGAAAAAAAGCCAUCAAGUUGGUUUCUUGCUCUCUACCUGAACAAGUGUGUUGUGAUUGCAGAGGCGUGAACCAGAAGGGCAAAGGAUCCAGCAGUAAAAAGAACAACCUGUCAUCCUUUCAGUAUUCUCUGUCCUGAAAUUGCUGUGGAAAUGUGGCAGAUGGGGCUCCAGGUGCCACAGAGCCAACGCUUCCUCUACAUUAGGUAGGUUUUCCCCAGUCAGACCUUUGCUCAAUACUCAUCUGUUGUUUCCCCUUCCCCACUUAUCUCCCAGUGGCUCCUCUAUAAUCCUCUCUACCCCAGUGUGUGUUUGCAUGAUCCAUACAUACAAAUGUACCUAUGUAGCAGGAGGUUCAAGCAGGAGAUCUGAGACCCUGAUGUUCCAGAGGUUUCUGUAUGCAGAGCAUCUGUGGUUGUGUAAAGAAAGAACGAGGAAUUAGAGGACAAAAGAUAUUCUAAAACUAGGUAAGGCCUGUUUUAUUUCACAGUGUACCAGCUUUGCAGUCAGAUUUUCUGUUUUCCCAGGUGUCAGGCUGCCACCUGUGUUUGCAAAA